GACGAACGCUGGCGGCGUGCCUAAUACAUGCAAGUAGAACGCUGAAGGAGGAGCUUGCUCUUCUGGAUGAGUUGCGAACGGGUGAGUAACGCGUAGGUAACCUGCCUGGUAGUGGGGGAUAACUAUUGGAAACGAUAGCUAAUACCGCAUAAUAACAGUUGUUGCAUGACAACUGUUUGAAAGGUGCAAUUGCAUCACUACCAGAUGGACCUGCGUUGUAUUAGCUAGUUGGUGGGGUAACGGCUCACCAAGGCGACGAUACGUAGCCGACCUGAGAGGGUGAUCGGCCACACUGGGACUGAGACACGGCCCAGACUCCUACGGGAGGCAGCAGUAGGGAAUCUUCGGCAAUGGACGAAAGUCUGACCGAGCAACGCCGCGUGAGUGAAGAAGGUUUUCGGAUCGUAAAGCUCUGUUGUAAGAGAAGAACGAGUGUGAGAGUGGAAAGUUCACAG
rnacentral:rRNA from 1 species